rnacentral:rRNA from 1 species
UUGAACGCUGGCGGCAUGCCUUACACAUGCAAGUCGAACGGUAGAGGGGCAACCCUUGAGAGUGGCGAACGGGUGAGUAAUAUAUCGGAACGUGCCCAGUCGUGGGGGAUAACGCAGCGAAAGCUGCGCUAAUACCGCAUACGAUCUAUGGAUGAAAGCGGGGGAUCGCAAAGACCUCGCGCGAUUGGAGCGGCCGAUAUCAGAUUAGGUAGUUGGUGGGGUAAAAGCCCACCAAGCCGACGAUCUGUAGCUG